rnacentral:rRNA from 1 species
GACGAACGCUGGCGGCGUGCUUAACACAUGCAAGUCGAACGAAGAGCUAUGGAAGCUUGCUUCUAUCAAUCUUCGUGGCGCACGUGUGAGUAACGCGUAAUCAACCUGCCCUUCAGAGGGGUACAAUAGUUGGAAACGACUUCUAAUCCCGCAUUCUAUUUAAUCUCGGCGUCGAGUAUAGAUGAACGGUUUUCUCUACAUUUAAGCUUGCACUGGAGGCGGGGUAUGUGGCUGAUUAGCUAGGUGGAGGGGUAACGGCCGAACAAGGCGAUGAACAGUAGCCGGUCUGGGGAGAUGAACGGCCACAUUGGGAACGAGACAACGGCCAGAAUCCUUAGGGAGGCAGCAGUGGGGGAUCUUCCGCCAAGGAGGGAAGUCCGGAGGGGCAAACCCGGGGUGGUGAUGAAGGGCUUCGGGUUGUAAAGAUCUGUUAAUCGGGAAGAAAGGACUUCUUGCGAAAAGUGAGAAGGAUUGACGGUACCGGAACAGAAAGCCACGGCUAACUACGUG